rnacentral:rRNA from 1 species
UAUCACUAAGCGGAGGAAAAGAAACCAACCGGGAUUCCCUCAGUAGCGGCGAGCGAAGCGGGAAAAGCCCAUCGCCGAAUCCCCCGUCGGACCUCGGCGGUUUGGGAACUGUGGCGUAAGGGUCCGACUCGUCGGGCGUCUGACCGUCCGAACAAGUCCCGCGGGACAGGUGUGCUCCCAGAGUGGGUGUGAGGCCUUUAGUUCGGUCUGGGUCUUCUGCUCGGCGCAGUCGGUACCUGAGAGUCGAGUUGCUUGGGAUCGCAGCUCAAAGUGGGUGGUAAGCUCC